rnacentral:rRNA from 1 species
UACGGAGGGUGCGAGCGUUUGUCCGGAAUCAUUGGGCGUAAAGGGCGCGUAGGCGGGUCUUUAAGUCAGGGGUGAAAUCCUGGAGCUCAACUCCAGAACUGCCUUUGAUACUGAGAAGCUUGAGUCCGGGAGAGGUGAGUGGAACUGCGAGUGUAGAGGUGAAAUUCGUAGAUAUUCGCAAGAACACCAGUGGCGAAGGCGGCUCACUGGCCCGGUACUGACGCUGAGGUGCGAAAGCGUGGGGAGCAAACAGG